rnacentral:lncRNA from 1 species
GCCACCAGAUAUCUGAGCAUAAUAAAAAGAAAGAAAUUGAAAGUUCUCAUGGAAUUACUCACAAAUGUUUCUAGCGUUGGAUGAAGUCAUAAAGGUAUAGUGCGCACCCAAAUAAGAAGAUGGGUAGGAGUUUCCUACCCAUCCUUGUUCUAGCAUAAGGAUAUGCAACUACCAUGCCACGGGGUGCUGUGUCUUGCUCAUUUUUCAUUAAAGCUCCACAAAUGCAUGUGCUCAAUUUUUUGCACCAUUCUCCAUGGGUCUUGUAGCAGGGUGUCUGGCAAGUAAAACAUCUUCAUUGCUUAUUCAAUAAAAAUGUAGGGAUCACUUUUGUUCGAGUACCUUCCAGUAUUGAUGUUUGUGAAGUACCCAUCCUUUCUAAUCCUCGGUUCCCUCUUGAUCCCUCC